rnacentral:rRNA from 1 species
GAUGAACGCUGGCGGCGUGCCUAAUACAUGCAAGUCGAGCGAACAGACGAGGAGCUUGCUCCUCUGACGUUAGCGGCGGACGGGUGAGUAACACGUGGAUAACCUACCUAUAAGACUGGGAUAACUUCGGGAAACCGGAGCUAAUACCGGAUAAUAUAUUGAACCGCAUGGUUCAAUAGUGAAAGACGGUUUUGCUGUCACUUAUAGAUGGAUCCGCGCCGCAUUAGCUAGUUGGUAAGGUAACGGCUUACCAAGGCAACGAUGCGUAGCCGACCUGAGAGGGUGAUCGGCCACACUGGAACUGAGACACGGUCCAGACUCCUACGGGAGGCAGCAGUAGGGAAUCUUCCGCAAUGGGCGAAAGCCUGACGGAGCAACGCCGCGUGAGUGAUGAAGGUCUUCGGAUCGUAAAGCUCUGUUAUUAGGGAAGAACAAAUGUGGAAGUAACUAUGCACGUCUUGACGGUACCUAAACAGAAAGCCACGGCUAACUACGUG